AUUGAACGCUGGCGGCAUGCCUUACACAUGCAAGUCGAACGGCAGCAUGAUCUAGCUUGCUAGAUUGAUGGCGAGUGGCGAACGGGUGAGUAAUACAUCGGAACGUGCCCUGUAGUGGGGGAUAACUAGUCGAAAGAUUAGCUAAUACCGCAUACGACCUGAGGGUGAAAGUGGGGGACCGCAAGGCCUCAUGCUAUAGGAGCGGCCGAUGUCUGAUUAGCUAGUUGGUGAGGUAAAGGCUCACCAAGGCGACGAUCAGUAGCUGGUCUGAGAGGACGAUCAGCCACACUGGGACUGAGACACGGCCCAGACUCCUACGGGAGGCAGCAGUGGGGAAUUUUGGACAAUGGGGGCAACCCUGAUCCAGCAAUGCCGCGUGUGUAAAGAAGGCCUUCGGGUUGUAAAGCACUUUUGUCCGGAAAGAAAUCGCACUUACUAAUAUUAGGUGUGGAUGACGGUACCGGAAGAAUAAGGACCGGCUAACUACGUGCCAGCCGCCGCUGUAAAAC
rnacentral:rRNA from 1 species